GUGCAGGUAAAUCGACCAGACCUUACAUGAAUUACAUGCUCCCUUAAUAAGCACUUACGCAAGAACAGCACUAAAAGCUGUCCAAGCUUCAAAAAAGAAAAGAAAAAGAAAA
rnacentral:lncRNA from 1 species